ensembl:snRNA U6 U6 spliceosomal RNA
GUGCUUGCUUCAGCAGCACAUAUACUAAAAUUGGAAUGAUAGAGAAGAUUACCAUGGCCGCUGUGCAAGUAUGAGACACAAAUUCCUGAAGCAUUCCGUAUUUUU